GUUGCAACAUUGUCGAACGGUUGCUUUAAACUAUUGCAGUAGCUCAAAGCGACUUAUAUUGAACGUUGCUUUUCGUAAUUUUGUGGACAAUAUGUUGUUCUUUAAGUGUCUGGUUCUUUUUCUCAUCGCUGAAGUUUCUGCCGAAAUAUGUGCAUCAUUGGGCAGAGACACGUUUUGCGAUUCCGGAACAUACUGUUGUCAUGAUAACACUCAAUGUUGCCCCGACCUGGACACAUUGAACGGUGUGGGUAUUGUAAUCGGCAUCGUUCUAAACAUCACUGGGUGCGUGGUCAUCUGUGUCUGCUGUAACCGCCGCCUUGCUUCUCGUUGACAGGUGCUGCAACCCAACGCCGUUAUAUCAAGCGUCAAUCAACAGAACACUUCCGUCGCCGCCCUACAGUACCCCGCGCAAUAUCCGGCGCAGUAUCCGUACCCUGCCUACCCAAAGGGACAGCAGCAGCCACCGACGCAAUAUCAAGCGGCAUAUCAUCCACUCCCUCACAGUUAUGGGCAACCGAGCACGGAUCAAGCCGUUCCGCCGGCACUCUCGGCGAAGAUGCGAUAAACCGAUGAGAUUGUGAGUUCCCACGCCAGCACAUACGGGAUGACGACUCGUGAAAUUGACAUAAUGGGAUCAUUAUACACAUGUAUGCUGCACAUUGUUGUUAGAGAAUUGUUAUGCGUUAAUUAACAUGCAUAAAGGAUACAUUAUGCUAAAUAAUCGAUAAAGCUCUUCUCCCUAAAAAUAACAUCAUAUUUCUACUCGAAGGCAUGUUUUACACUUUAGACUGUUGAUCUUGUUUUAUUGUUUGGACAUAUUGAUAGGGUAAGCAUAGAUUUUUACUACUAAAUCCCUGGCAUAUAGUUAGAGAUUAUAAUGAAAAAGCACCUGGCAUAUGAUAAAGUAAGAGAUUAUAAUAAAAAAAGCACCUGGCAUAUGAUUAAGUUAGAGAUUAUAAUAAAAAAGCACCUGGCAUAUGAUAAAAUAAGAGAUUAUAAUUAAAAAGCAUCUGGCAUAUGAAAAAGUUAGAGAUUAUAAUAUAAAAGCACUGAAAAAAGUUACAUUCCACUAUAAAACGGUAAAAAAGGAGGUGCAAACAGUCGAUUUUAUUUGUGUCGAGUCAUUUCUCGGAUUGAGUAAAAUAUAUAUUUUGUAUUACUUAAAUCGAUAAAGCUUAAAAUUUCCUUUAAAAAAAGGUAUAGUUAUGGGGGGAUCUCUAUGUGCAAAAUGCUGUUUUUUCGCUUAAACGUGUCGCUUUUACAUUGAAUUACUAGUAUUGAGGGGAAAUGUUUAAGUAUAUUGUGACCUAAAGUAAAUUUUAAUUGCUGACAUUAUUUUCUUUGAAAUUUGGUCAUCACUAUGAAUGUUUGUGCGCACUACCGGUAUUAUAUGAAGUUAUUAUAUGUGAUUAUACUUUUUGAAUUGCACGCGACACAAAAAAGCAGACAGGCGGUCGAACGACAAAUCUCUAUCUCCGUGUGCAUUUUGUAAAAAAGAUUUGUGCAUGUAUUGCAUUCCACUAUAUCGAGUGUAAUACCUGUUUUUUUUUUUGCUUUUUCGUGAAAUAAAUGCAAACAAUUGGACUAUUAAA